rnacentral:piRNA from 1 species
GACAUCUUGUAGGGCGCCCUCCUGUGGUGU